AACGAACGCUGGCGGCAUGCCUAACACAUGCAAGUCGAACGAAACCUUCGGGUCUAUUGGCGUACGGGUGCUUAACGCGUGGGAACCUGCCCUUAGGUUCGGAAUAACUCCCCGAAAGGGGUGCUAAUACCGGAUAAUGUCUUCGGACCAAAGAUUUAUCGCCUUUGGAUGGGCCCGAGUUUGAUUAUCUAGUGUGUAGGGUAAAAGCCUACCAAGGCGACGAUCUAUAGCUGGUCUGAGAGGAUGAUCAGCCACACUGGGACUGAGACACGGCCCAGACUCCUACGGGAGGGGGGAGAGGGGAAUAGUGGACAAUGGGGGAAAGCAUGAUCAAGCAAGGCCGGGUGAGUGAUGAAGGCAUUAGAGUAGUAAAGCUCUUUUACCCGGGAUGAUAAUGACAGUACCGGGAGAAUAAGCGCCGGCUAACUACGUG
rnacentral:rRNA from 1 species